GUCUACCCCGGCAAGUCCGGGGGCCUCUCUGCUGCCCUGUGCAUGGAGAACUCUCUCGACCCGAAACUGGUGAAAAACAAGAUAGUCAUCUGCGACCGAGGCAGCAGCCCGAGGGUCGCCAAGGGGCUGGUCGUCAAGGAAGCUGGCGGCGCCGGCAUGAUACUUGCGAAUGGUGUCUCCAACGGUGAAGGCCUGGUCGGGGAUGCCCACGUACUCCCCGCCUGCGCCAUCGGCUCUGAUGAGGGCGACUCAGUCAAGGCCUACGUCGCCACCGCGGCUACCCCGACAGCCACCAUCGCGUUCCGGGGGACAAUCGUCGGGGUUCGACCGGCGCCGGUGGUGGC
rnacentral:misc_RNA from 1 species